ACCAGACUCCUACGGGAGGCAGCAGUGGGGGAUAUUGCACAAUGGGGGAAACCCUGAUGCAGCGACGCCGCGUGUGGGAAGACGGUCCUCUGGAUUGUAAACCACUGUCCCCAGGGACGAAGAUGACGGUACCUGAGGAGGAAGCCACGGCUAACUACGUGCCAGCAGCCGCGGUAAUACGUAGGUGGCAAGCGUUGUCCGGAAUUACUGGGUGUAAAGGGAGCGUAGGCGGGACAGCAAGUCCAGUGUGAAAUCUAUCGGCUCAACCGAUAGCUGCGCUGGAAACUGUGGUUCUUGAGUGAAGUAGAGGCAGGCGGAAUUCCUAGUGUAGCGGUGAAAUGCGUAGAUAUUAGGAGGAACACCAGUGGCGAAGGCGGCCUGCUGGACUUUUACUGACGCUGAGGCUCGAAAGUGUGGGUAGCAAACAGGAUUAGAUACCCCGGUAA
rnacentral:rRNA from 1 species